rnacentral:rRNA from 1 species
GUACGGGGGGGCAAGCGUUGUUCGGAAUUACUGGGCGUAAAGGGCUCGUAGGUGGCCAACUAAGUCAGACGUGAAAUCCCUCAGCUUAACUGGGGAACUGCGUUUGAGACUGGCAAGCUUGAGUGCAGGAGAGGAACGCGGAAUUCCAGGUGUAGCGGUGAAAUGCGUAGAUAUCUGGAGGAACACCGGUGGCGAAGGCGGCGUUCUGGACUGUAACUGACACUGAAGAACGAAAGCCAGGGGAGUAAACGGG